GAUGAACGCUAGCGGCAGGCUUAAUACAUGCAAGUCGAGGGGUAACAGGAAGUGCUUGCACUUCGCUGACGACCGGCGCACGGGUGAGUAACGCGUAUACAAUCUACCUCAUACUAGAGGAUAGCCCGAAGAAAUUUGGAUUAACACUCUAUAGUAUCAUUUAAAGACAUCUUUUUAUGAUUAAAGGUUACGGUAUGAGAUGAGUAUGCGUUCUAUUAGUUUGUAGGUGAGGUAACGGCUCACCUAGACUGCGAUAGAUAGGGGCCCUGAGAGGGGGACCCCCCACACUGGUACUGAGACACGGACCAGACUCCUACGGGAGGCAGCAGUAAGGAAUAUUGGUCAAUGGACGAAAGUCUGAACCAGCCAUGCCGCGUGCAGGAUGAAUGCCCUAUGGGUUGUAAACUGCUUUUAUAUAGGAAGAAAAACUUUCUCGUGAGAAGGCUUGACGGUACUAUAAGAAUAAGGAUCGGCUAACUCCGUG
rnacentral:rRNA from 1 species